AGCUAGUGUGGUGUAGUGGUUUGAACACUGGAUUACAGCUCUAGAGAUCAGAGUUUAAUUCCCUGCUUGGCCA